rnacentral:rRNA from 1 species
GCGAAAGCGGUGGCGGAGGGCGGGGUGAUACGGGGGUGGAAAGGUGUGGUCGGAAUGACUGGGGGUAAAGGGCGAGUAGGUGGCCAUCUAAGUCAGACGUGAAAUCGCCCGGCUGAACCUGGGAACUGCGUCUGAUACUGGACGGCUUGAGUAUGGGAGAGGAACGUAGAAUUCCAGGUGUAGCGGUGAAAUGCGUAGAUAUCUGGAGGAAUACCGGUGGCGAAGGCGGCGUUCUGGACCAUUACUGACACUGAAUCGCGAAAGCUAGGGGAGCAAACGGGAUUAGAUACCCCGGUAGUC